GUCCUUCUCUAAAUCAGAUUAUAUCAUCUUCAAUAUAUAUCAGAUUAUCAGAUAUACUCGUAGGUUCUUCGUCUACUGGUUCUCAAAUUGGUAUUGCUUUUACCGGUGGCAACUGCGAGUGUUGAAAGGGUAUUUUCUGCAUUGGUUAUAGUGAAAUCAAAAUCAAGAAAUAAGCUAGGUGAUACUAUUUUGGAUGAUUGUCUACUCACGUUUAUUGAGCGAGAUAUUUUCUUCUAAGUUGAUGAAUGUGAUAUAAUUGAGUCAUUCAUGUCAUUAGAAAAGAGGAGGAUCAACAAGUAAUAUUGUUCGACUCGCAGCUAAUAGCUUGGUGACAAAAGAUAUUCAGGAGCCUGGUGACUACGGUGGAUUCCCCGCUGUACCGAUAAAUGAAUGGCGCAGGCAAAUUGCAAAUUUGCGGUUGUUCUCGAAGAAAGCUAGCGUGAAAAGAUAGCAUCCAGCAACCCCCCCUGCGCGAUUUUUUUUCCCUGACGGUAGUAUUUGACAGUGACUGUAGCCCUCAUUUUUUAAUCGAGCGACAUUGCUUGGCUUGUUUGCUGCCGCUUUUGUCUCUGGUGCUCCAAAAUUUCGGCUACACAAUGGAAUUCGACCUUUUGAAAGAUUUUUUGGACUCUUGGUUGUUUAACUUGGCCAUAAGGAACCCUCUGCAUUAGUAGCGGAUUAUUUUCUAGCUGUCUGCUCUUCAUGAGUUCACUUUCAGAGUUUGAGGCAGCAGAGGUCGUUCAGUUCCUGAGUCCAUGUCAAUACCGGCAAAAACUAUAAUGAUGCAAGUCACAUAUAAUCUGAUGCAGAAACACCAAAAAAA
rnacentral:lncRNA from 1 species